rfam:Gossypium arboreum cultivar AKA8401 contig_21057_3, whole genome shotgun sequence.
AUUCCGUGAUGAGGGCACUUUCGUAAUAACUCUUUGAAUAUUUCCCAUGCCUCAUACAAGGACUCACAUCCAUCUGUUGGAAAGCAGUAAUCUCAUUUCUCAGCUU